UUUCAAGCCGAUGGUGGUGGCUGCAGGUGGAGACCGGAGGCUGGAUUUUAGUAAGCCAAUGGUGGUGGCUUCAGGUGGAGACGGGAGGCUGGUGUUUUGCAAGCCGAUGGUGGUGGCUGCAGUCAGGACGUCUCGGGCACCGGGACACCCCCCGGCACCCGGAAAAGAAGAGAAGAGAAGAGAAUUCCAC